UUGAUUUCUUUCUGUAAGAUUUGAUUUUUUUCCACAGCAGCAAACUUUGAAGCAGCAAACUUUGAUUGAUCUCUUUCACACGUUCAUGUUCAAAUCUUUGACGAACAAGUAAAUUCAAUCUAUUUAAACCUCAUUGUAUCAUCCUCAAAUUCACAAAUCAACAAAACAAAUUCAGUCUUUUAAGAUUCAUCCUGUUUCUUCCCACUGCCGAAUCUCCAUCGGCUUUGUGACCAGGGGGAUUAGCGCUGCUUUCCCAAGACAGGUUUUUAUGUGUAUGAUCUUCAGGCUUUGCCUAUCCAGGUUGGCUGGCCGGUGCUGACGGGACGGAGCUGAGGCUAGGGUUAAAUUCCUAUGUUAGACUUCCGCUGUAGCAAUUACUCAUUUCAGUCUUUUGUUUUCCCAACUUAAGAUCUUCAUGUUAAAUUUCAAAUGAUAUAUUUUACCUAGCUUAGACUCUUCACUACUAAAUUUAUGCCAAUGAAUGUCGGUUGUCA